rnacentral:tRNA from 1 species
GCACCCGUAGCUCAGUGGAUUAGAGCAUCUGUCUUCGGAACAGAGGGUCGUGGGGUCGAAUCCCCCCGGGUGUACCA